rnacentral:rRNA from 1 species
UUGGAGGUUGUGCCCUUGAGGCGUGGCUUCCGGAGCUAACGCGUUAAGUCGACCGCCUGGGGAGUACGGCCGCAAGGUUAAAACUCAAAUGAAUUGACGGGGGCCCGCACAAGCGGUGGAGCAUGUGGUUUAAUUCGAUGCAACGCGAAGAACCUUACCUACUCUUGACAUCCAGAGAACUUAGCAGAGAUGCUUUGGUGCCUUCGGGAACUCUGAGACAGGUGCUGCAUGGCUGUCGUCAGCUCGUGUUGUGAAAUGUUGGGUUAAGUCCCGCAACGAGCGCAACCCUUAUCCUUUGUUGCCAGCGGUUAGGCCGGGAACUCAAAGGAGACUGCCAGUGAUAAACUGGAGGAAGGUGGGGAUGACGUCAAGUCAUCAUGGCCCUUACGAGUAGGGCUACACACGUGCUACAAUGGCAUAUACAAAGAGAAGCGACCUCGCGAGAGCAAGCGGACCUCAUAAAGUAUGUCGUAGUCCGGAUUGGAGUCUGCAACUCGACUCCAUGAAGUCGGAAUCGCUAGUAAUCGUGGAUCAGAAUGCCACGGUGAAUACGUUCCCGGGCCUUGUACACACCGCCCGUCACACCAUGGGAGUGGGUUGCAAAAGAAGUAGGUAGCUUAACCUUCGGGAGGGCGCUUACCACUUUGUGAUUCAUGACUGGGGUGAAGUCGUAACAAAGGUUAACCGUAGGGGAACCUGGC